GCCUGGUUGGCUGAGUUGGUAAAGCAUGGGGCUUUUGAUCCCAGGGUCAUGAGUUCGAGCCCCAUGUUGAGCA